UGGGGAAUUUUGGACAAUGGGCGCAAGCCUGAUCCAGCCAUGCCGCGUGCGGGAAGAAGGCCUUCGGGUUGUAAACCGCUUUUGUCAGGGAAGAAAUCUUCUGAGUUAAUACCUCGGGAGGAUGACGGUACCUGAAGAAUAAGCACCGGCUAACUACGUGCCAGCAGCCGCGGUAAUACGUAGGGUGCAAGCGUUAAUCGGAAUUACUGGGCGUAAAGCGUGCGCAGGCGGUUUUGUAAGACAGAGGUGAAAUCCCCGGGCUCAACCUGGGAACUGCCUUUGUGACUGCAAGGCUUGAGUGCGGCAGAGGGGGGAUGGAAUUCCGCGUGUAGCAGUGAAAUGCGUAGAUAUGCGGAGGAACACCGAUGGCGAAGGCAAUCCCCUGGGCCUGCACUGACGCUCAUGCACGAAAGCGUGGGGAGCAAACAGGAUUAGAUACCCUGGUAGUCCACGCCCUAAAACGAUGUCAACUGGUUGUUGGGAAGGUUCCUUCUCAGUAACGUAGCUAACGCGUGAAGUUGACCGCCUGGGGAGUACGGCCGCAAGGUUGAAAACUCAAAUGAAUUGACGGGGUCAUAGCUGUUU
rnacentral:rRNA from 1 species